AUGAAACUGAGAUUGCUUGUUCGCCGUCAUCUGAGCCAAAGGAAUCGAUGGCUGCACCCACAAGUCUGCACAAUUCCACAUCGCAGUCAGAUGAGGAUGCACAAACCAUUGUCAGCUGUGGGGUGCAAUGCUGCCCACUGAGAACAGAGGGUGCGGUGCAGACAGGCCCGGUGGUGCUAUCCAAGCUUGAGGUCUGCCAGCUCCUCACCCCCGAUUUCUUUGCAUCUCUCGAGCGAGCCGAGCUGGGCCGAAUCCUCAGCACUAUCGCCACGGUUGUCGCCCAGAACCCUCUACCGCAAGAGUGAGAGAGCACCUUGGCUGUGGUUCAUCCAUCAAAUACUCACAAUACACACAGUCAACAAUGCUGGCAUGAGCAAUUCAGUGGCAAGUUCUUUUUUUCAUUUCCACUGCCGACUGUACUGCUCCAAGACACUGGACUCUGAUGAUUAGUGGGUGCAACAUUCACUGCCUCGUUACUUGUCACCUGCCAUCCAUUUUAAUUUUAGUAUCAUUACCUGUUAUUGACAUUUGUAAGCUGAGCUCUUUUUUUUUUUUUCUCUCGCAUUAAUUUUUAUUUUCUAUGAGCAUUGGCUGCCAAUGUAAGAUCAACAUCUUUUACAAUUUCAGCUAAAUAGAAGAGCUCAUUACUUCAUGCAAAGCAGCUCUACAGCUCGCUGCUUGUUUUAUGUGCACCAUAUGCUUCCACAUAUAGAUCAGGAUCCUUCUUGUAGCUGUUCUUUUACAGUUGCCCUUACAUCAUUCAUCAAAUACCAAGGCAGCCAGCUUGCUUCUCAAUGCUUUUAAUUGUGCUGCAAGUUGAAUUUAUUAUUAAAUCAGCUGUAGUUCGACGCGAUUAAGCAGUGUGGAUCUGCUUGAUGUAAUGGGAAGUGUUAUCAUAUAGAUGGAGUGGGCACCUGUUUAUUUCCACUCUUGAACAUUUUAGCUGUUUCUAUGAAUGUGAG